CCUACGGGUGGCAGCAGUGAGGAAUAUUGGUCAAUGGCCGGAAGGCUGAACCAGCCAUGCCGCGUGAAGGUCAGUGCCCUAUGGGCGGUAAACUUCUUUUGUGCGGGAGCAAUAAUGGGCACGUGUGGCCAGACGAGAGUACCGUACGAAUAAGCAUCGGCUAACUCCGGGCCAGCAGCCGCGGUUUUACGGGGGAUGCAAGGGUUAUCCGGAGUUUUUGGGGUUAAAGGGUGCGUAGGAGGGGAGGUAAGGCAGGGGUGAAAUGCCCCCGCUCAACGGGGUGAAGUGCCAUUGAUACUGUCCUGCUGGAGUGCGGAUGAGGUGGGAGGAAUGUGUGGUGUAGCGGUGAAAUGCAUAGAUAUCA
rnacentral:rRNA from 1 species